AAGUCGUAACAAGGUCUCCGUAGGUGAACCUGCGGAGGGAUCAUUCACAUGAUUACCUUUUCAACAAACUGUGAACUUUAUAUUUACCAUUCGUGUGUGUAAAACUCGUUUUAUAUCACACUGUCAUUCGAUGAACAUUAGAUAACUGGCUUGAAGUCUUAACAACUUCUUUCUCAGUUGAUUGCUUGUAUUGACUAAACAUCUUACAACAAUCGCCAUAAAACAUAGAAACAACUCUAUGCCCUGGAUAUCUUGGUUCUC
rnacentral:misc_RNA from 1 species